rnacentral:rRNA from 1 species
UACGUAGGGUGCAAGCGUUAAUCGGAAUUACUGGGCGUAAAGCGUGCGCAGGCGGUUCGCUAAGACAGAUGUGAAAUCCCCGGGCUUAACCUGGGAACUGCAUUUGAAACUACAAGGCUAGAGUGUAGCAGAGGGGGGUAGAAUUCCACGUGUAGCAGUGAAAUGCGUAGAGAUGUGGAGGAAUACCAAUGGCGAAGGCAGCCCCCUGGGUUAACACUGACGCUCAUGCACGAAAGCGUGGGGAGCAAACAGG